rnacentral:sRNA from 1 species
GAAAAGAAUAAAGAGCUUCAAAUGGAGAAUUCUUCAUUAAAUAAAAAGGUUAAAAAUCUCAAGGAAAGCAAUGAGUUGGAUCGAAAUUAUUACCAGAGAGCCAUCGACAACUUAAAGAGGUCUCACAACUUUAAUGUGGACGGCUCAUUUCUUGAGCAGAAAGCUCCUGAAGUGCCUGAGAUUCAAGUAAAAAAGAAAACUGGAA